UCCAAAUCACAUUAAAGAUGUGCUUAUUUUAGGGGCGCUGCUAAUUAUGUCUUUCCAUUAAUAUUCAUUCCGAAUUCAGAAAAGAAAUCAAACCGGAAUUCCCUGCGUUGGGAAGACCCACGCCACGUCUUUUGCCUCUUCUUCUUCCUCUGGCAACCUCCUUUUGUCUCUGUUACGCAAAGGUUUUCACAUCCACACGUGACGUUACUACACGGCGGAUCGCUUGGCUGACGCAGCAACCGACUCGCGAUCUUGUCAAAACUUCCGUCACGAUGCCAGCAAAAAAAUAGUUUGGUUUCCUUGCGUGUUUUUGACUCCUCCGAAUAUAGAUGGAAACUGACCCGCAUACGGAGGGAGCGAGUUUUGUACAGGCGUCCCGUGUGGCUAUUAUCUUCUUCCUCGCCUCACCCCACCCCACCUCUUUCCUCCCCUUGACCUCUCCUUUCCCCUUCCUCCUCUCCAAAAAGAAAAGGGUCUAAGAUCUUGGCAUCUCGAUUCUCAUGCCAUGGAUAUGGAUAUGGAUGGAGCCGUCUGCAUGGUUUCCGUAUGCCGACAUGAAAGAUAGCACAUCUUUUCUGCUUGGCUUCGACGCCUAUCGAAGCUCUGGCGGCCGAGACGGGCAAACUUCUCUUGUUGAUUGGAUCUUAACUGGAUUUCUUGUUCCAUGGCGUCAACAGGCCGGCCGAUACUGAUUCAACCUAAUUUCUUCUUGUUCGGUAGGUCGGUUUUUCUGGAUCUCGCCUCCAAGAUUGUUCCAUCUUUUCUCGACCUCAAAUCUGUUUGUUCAUGCCUGCAGGAUCUCCUCGCGGCCGGCUCUAUGCAUACCUCGUGUCCGAUGCACGCUUUCAUUGUGUAGAACACAGAUCGAUCUGAGCUGCUCAUGCCCGGUGAGUCUAGAUAGACUUGUAAUCGUUCAUUGUUUGUGGCCAAUUUCAAUCAGAACGAAACUUCUUUUGGUUUCUGAUGUUACGAAGGUGUUUACAUGAUCUCUUUCCUUUGGUUUCUAUAUGUUCUGGUUUGAUCUCUACAAGUUUUCCUUUUCUUUUGAAAUUUUAUUGGCUCGCCGUCUUAUUUUCUUCAAUAAAAGUCGAGAUCCCGUACGUUUUUCCCGUGGGAACGGAACGGGGAGUCUGAAUCCGAGGCACCCACGCGUCUCGUACGUUUUUGCUGUUGUCUCGAAGGUGAAGGUGCUUAGAUGAUUUCUUCCAUCUGGUUGGUUUCUACAUGUCUGAUUCGAUCUCUACAAUCUCCUUGUUGCCUUCGAUCGAGUGACAACUCGUUGGUCCUUGAUCUCCCCGUUGUUCCGUGUGAUGGGUUUUCCAGCCUACUAACUGUAUCGAAUCAGACUUGUAUCUCAACUGAAUUUCCUCUGCUAACUGGCAGGAUUUCUCUGCCUACUAAGAAAGCAAUUUGUUACAAAUAUCUGGUUUUGUUUCUCGCGUACCAACAGUCAAUGGACAUCUUACAUGACAUAGGACUAGUCUCGAGAAACAGUCAAUGGACAUCUUACAGACAUAGGACUAGUCUCGAGAAACAAGGGACGAAUACUACCUUGCACCGCUUGAUUUCAUAUUGUCUCACUACAUAUGAGGAAAUAAUGGUGUCUUGCUAAAACUGCUGCAGGGAGAUUCUGGAAAGGUAUUUAUUCGCAAAAGAAAAAAUUACGGAAUAUAAUUUUCCAGCUGAGGCUUCCGCAAGUUAUUCCGCAAUUGCUAUUGCUGAAACAUCUGCGAUAAUAAGAAAAGUAAUGUCAGGGAACUUGUAAACUCAAUUGCUUUUGCUGAAACAUCUGCGAUAAUAAGAAAAGUAAUGUCAGGGAACUUAACGUAAACUCUAUUGUUUUAACGUAAACUCUAUUGUUUGGCAGGGAACAACAUGGAUUUUAGUACAUCUACCUUUCUGCUGACUAACUUUUAACUAGGAAACACCCAACCGACAUAGCAGAUACCAGAGAACCCAAAAUGACAAAUGAACUUUCUGAAGCCACCCAUAAUGACAAUUGAACUUUCUGAAGCCUUUGUAUUUCAUUUAAAUACAGUUACAGCGUUUAACAAAUUAAGAAUCGUGGUUUUCUAGAUAACCCAGUUUUAGAUUACUCAGGCUGUAAUAAUCAUAAGUUGACAAGCAGUUUCUAGAUGAUACAGUUACAUGCUGUAACAAUUAUAUAUAACAAGCAGUUGACUUAUAUCAUAGGCUGAUGCCUGCAAUAAUGUCAUUCUAGCACAAUUCCAACACAAUCGGUAUCCUGUAGGUGUUUAUUAUUGUACUGAAAUUACAUGUUAGUUUAUUUUUGUCCUGAAAUUGCAUGCAACUCUUUGUACAAUGCAAAACUGUAUGCAUUGUAAAACUUCUGACCUUAAUUAUGUAUGACCGAAAGACUAAAGACCGAAAGUGAUAGGUAAACCUUUUUAUGUCUCGAAUCGUGUCAUUUUUUUAGAGUGCAGUUAAAAUGUUAUUAUUUAUCUUAGGCUGCUGCUGAUUUUUUAUGUUUGGGUACAAUAGAUAAUUCAAACGCAAAGAGGUAACACAUGAAAAAUAAUGUCAGCGUAUUUUUUUUUGUGUGUACUAGCAACAUCUAACUAAUUCUAUUUUCUUUAAUGGCAGGAAAUCCUCUGCUGAUUAACUAGAACCCAGGAUACAAGUUUCUGAAACCUGUAAUCAUAUAUAACACGCAAUUUAUCUUGGCUUUUAAGCUAGCCUAUCAAAAUGCAUUAUGACAAUUAUAAAAACAUUCUCCCCAUGUUCUAAUAUAGCAGUCAUAGUCUGUUGCAAAAAUGUAGGGAGUAUAUAUUAUGAAGCUGCUGUGCUUGCUGAGCAUUAUACCUCCAUCAGUGACCUCUGGCGAUUUCGCUUCUUCUUGGUGCCAUGAGCUUGGUUGUAGGCGUUCCUGGCCUGCUGCCGGCGAAUGAUGUGCUCUCUCUCCUGUCUAUCGAUGGAGUCGUGAAGCGCCUUGUGACGUGCCUGAUUGUCACGCCGCACAUCUCUGCAUCUCGGGCAAAACCAGGUGAUCACAGGGGCUGCCACAGGCCCUCCCUGGCCUGCAGCUACAGCUACAUCUGGGCCGUUGCCGUUGCCCCUCCCGCCAGGUCCGUGGCCCCGGCCACCCCGCGACCUGCGCGACCUCCUCCGCGGCCUCCCAUGCCUGAAUGCCAUAAUUAUCUUGACAAGGUCAAUACUAAUCCGGGGAAUUUGAGAAAUAACAGUCAAUUUGACCUGAGCGAACAGGGAAUUUCAGAAAUCAUGAGUCAAUUUCAUCCGAGCGAACGGGGAGUUUUAGAAAUCACGAGUCAAUUUGAUCCUGGUUAACAGGGAAUUUGAGAAAUCACGAGUCAAUUUGAUCCGAGUUAACAGGGAAUUUGAGAAAUCACGAGUCUAUUAAGGUUAAAGCGGUUCCUCAGACCUGAAGAGGAAAUCGGAAAACAACCGCGGAACUGAAUCAGAUCUGGAAACGAAAUCCAAAAGCCACCGCAUUGUUAACAGGAGAUCAGAUCCGAUCCGAUUCGAUUCGUCUAAGGCUGGGGAUCCAGGAGAUCGAGGGUUUACCUCGUUCCUGGUCAGAUCGGGGAAGAGGGACGGGACGGGCGAGAUCCUCCUGUCCUGAUGAGAUCGGAGAACGAGGGACGGGCGAGACCCUCCUGUCCUGGCGGGAUCGGAGAACGAGGGACGGGCGAGAUCCUCUCCGCGCGGUCGGUGGUGGUGGUUCGAAUGCGGCCGAAGAGUUAGGGUUGGCUGCAGAGACGUGUUUAUUUAUAUCAUCCCCUUUUUUCGGGAUCAGCGGGCUUCCCUCGGGUGUUUUUCUUUCUGUUUAUCGGGAAAAUUGUUAUUUACACAGACACAUCGUUUGCGAGUAAUUUUUUAAUAAAUCCUGACGGAGCCGG
rnacentral:lncRNA from 1 species